rnacentral:tRNA from 1 species
UCCCUGGAGGACUAGUGGUUAGGCCACAGCACUCUCACUGCUGUGGCCCUGAUUCGAUUCCCGGCCAGGGAA